UGCAGGGGGCUGGUGAGGUAUCAGAUCAGGCUCAUACCCUGACCGAAGCGGGUUCGAGUCCCGCCCCUGCUACCA
rnacentral:tRNA from 1 species